UAAGAUCAGACAUGUUUAUUACGUUUUAUGAUUUAGAACAGAUAACGCAGAGCGGAGUUAAAGUGAUUCUAGCUCACUUUAGCGGAGUGUUCUCAGCAGUUCCGAUUACUCUAGUUUCGCUUUGCGGAAUGUGUUAACUUCAUUUUGUUAUGGCGAAGAUUGGUCUCUCGGUGUACGGCUGUGUGACAAGUAUGGCCUCUUGAGUAAAUCAGCAGCGACGCGACGAGAAAUAGUCGUUGACGGACGUUUUUUACCGUUUCGAAGAAGACGCAUGUCGCCUUGCGCUUUACCGAAAUGAGGACGGCCACAUUUCAGCAAGAUCAAGAGCUGAGGUCACGAAGAUUGAAAAACGAUUCGCAGCGUUCGAAGUUUUCCAGCGAUGGCACCGUCGUCGACCGGAGCCUCAACCUUCAAGGAAUUGUGACAAUGCUGAAAGAAGAUACGUGUAACAAGUCUGUAGGCGGCAUAAACUGUAGCAUCUGUGGCAAGUUAUACAAGAGCAAAGUGUGCUUUACCAAGCACAUAUGGGAGCACUCUAUGUACUGGGACCUGUUUGAUGACAUGAAGCACCAGGACCGUGUGCUAUCCAUCCAGGGCGCCCUCAUCCUCUAUAGCUUGCUGCAUCCUGGUGACCUAGCUGGCCUUUUGGUCACUGACCCACCACGACUGAGGCGACGAGAACGACUUGAGAAAGCUGGCAUUCGCACACAACCUUAGUGAGGCUGCUCCUUGUGUCCUUUUUUUUCUGUUGUGCUGCGUUAAUCUCGCAGCUGGUCUGUGAGAGCAGAUGUUUGUUUUUGAUGAGCUGCUUGGUUCGGGCUUGUGUGUCUAUGUAUAUUUAUGUAAAGCUCCCUUGGGGCUUACUCAGAAAUGCCAUCUAGCCAUAGUUGAUGCUGAUGUCCAGUGGCUUCCUUUGCUCUGGCUAACGCAUUGGUUUAAUGUUAUGGGAUGAGCGUCGACAUCUUACAUAGCAGUUGCAUAAGCUAUUGAGGCAUAUAGUAAGUCCUUGGGUUGUGUUAGUUUUUUCUGCUGUUAACUGGUGGGAGAGAGAAAGAGAUGACACCUUCUGCUACUUUAGCUGCACAACUUGUGUGGUGUUGUGGCAGUGUAAUCAGCCUGGCAGAACUUUUAUUGCUAUUGGCACCUAGACCAAACAUGGGCGAGUCAGUAGGCCUUUUUUUCCUCGUUUGACUUUUUGUUAUGGUGGCAGCAGCAGAAGUAAAUUUUCUACUUGAGUGUUUACUUUUUACGCUGCCAGCCAUACGGCCAUCGUUUCAUCACUCUGUGCAAUACCUUUGCAGUCUGCAAGAACGUUUAUUACAUUAAUGCGAUAGGCAGCUAAAUAUUUCAGCUAGCAUUUCGUGCUGCUGAAUGGUGCUGAAUGUGAAUAUAUUUUACUUACAUGUGGACUCGUUCCUAUGCUUGCAAUGAAGACAGGCAAAAGAAGUUACAGAGGCAUCUAAGUCUCCUUACUAAGUGCAUUGAAUGCGAAAGCACGGUGUGUCUUGGUGUGACGACUAUGUCGACAUACACAUUACUUCGACGUCCAUGUCACGUGACAUCAUGACAUGACAUCAUUGCUUUGCUACGUGAUGACAUCAUCACUUGGUCACGUGAGUUUUCUUGCCAUUGGGUGGUAAUGCUGCUUGCCGGAUGGAUGCUGGUUUUUUCACUUCAUGAAGCAUAUAAUGCUUUUGCAUUAAUAAAGUGAUUAAAGAAAGCGUUUUAAAGUGCAGCUUAGCAUGACUUAAUUUACACCUGAUGAGCACCUUUAGUCUAUUACUUAGUUUAUAUAUUGUGUGCCUGUUGCAAGUUGACCAGAGACAUUCAUAUUUCCUGUACUUGUGCAGACUUCAAACAUGCACCUAUGUGUGUUUUGACUGUUAAGGCAAUCAAUGUUUUAUUUUGAAUAAAAUAAUAAUUUUAGGGCUAUAAAUGAUGUGCAGAAUAGACAGGUGAAGUGAUUGUGUAGUUUUCACUUUUAAUGCUGCAUUUUUCUUUUCUUUUUGUCCAUAUUAUAAAUCAUACAAAUACUGCGUGGCAGCUGAGUCUGUUAAGUCAUGUUGGUGCUGAGUUUCUUGUGGAAAAUGUGCUACUAACAGGUAGUCGUGCAUGUGUAAAUCAAAUUUACAUGAGAUCCUAAACACUAGUAUAACUUCACUCUUUGAUUUAAAAAAAAAACAAACAGAUUAUUCGUUAUACAAAGUGUAUCAUUUCAUUGCUAACAGAAUUUUUAAAGAGGCCCUGUAACACUUUUUGAACGAACUCUGAAAACAUUGCUGAUAUGUAGUCAAGUCUCCUGUGAGCAUGUGAGCCAAAUGUUAUCGAUCUGCAUGCAGCAGGAAACUUAUGAUUUAGUGUAAAAAAUAAAAGCCUAAAAUUGUUUGCUUUCUCCUUUGCAGCAGAUUUUGAAACAAGUACCAGUUUGGAAAUGAAGGCUUUCACACUUGGGGUAAAAUGUGCGGUUGUUCCAGUUAUGUUGUUAACAAAACGUCUUUCAAGGCAUUUAAGUCCAAACAUAACUGGAACACCAAUGCAUUUCGUCUUAAAUUUUGGAAACUUAUAUCUCUAAACUGGUGUCGCCCACAAAAAUCAUUUGCCAACUUAUGAUGCUUUCGUAGUCACCAGCUACAUUUCAUGUAUUGCAAAUGUGCCAUGAGGUCAUUAGCAGAACUUUAAUUAGUCAAAUAUGAAUUUUGAUUUCUCAUAACAAAAUUGGCUCUUCUGAAUGUAACCUGGCUCUAAAAGUAAAAUUGUGCUACACGCCACAGGCUAGUUUCAAAAAUUUUGUUAACAAUAACAUAAGAUACCCUGCACAGGGUUUGCCCAAAAAGUAAUGUCAGUGUUUAUGUUAUGAAGUGACUGUACCUUGCAGUGUGCUUGGACUGGUUGGGAUUGGUGGAAGGAAAAAUAGUUUAUGCACACGUGGUCGCUGUGGUCGCUCAGUCAUCUGUAACUCUCUGCACAGCAAGGACAGGCUUUUCUGUAAAGCUCAUUUUCAUUUCCCAUGCAAGCCAUAACGCAGUGCUCGUUGGAACAAAGCAGAAAGAAUUGCUAUCAAGUUUUGUGUGAUACUCGGCAAGUCGGCAGUGGAAACUUUUCCCAUGAUAAAGACAGCCUUCGGUGGUAAUUGUUUGUCGGAACAUCAUGUCUUCCAUGAAAGGCCAUCACUUUGGUGCAGUUGACAUAUUCAGCUUGCACAAAAGCUUUAAAGUACAUCCAGGACGAGGAAUAAAUCUCACUGUCAGAAAUGUAUCGAGGCUGGAGGAGCCUAUUUUGAAACCUUUUAAUGUGUUGUACCGACCUGAUCAAUAGCUUUCUUCACUUGACUAAUUGAAGUUACAUUUGAAGAUUAAACGUAUAUACCUGUAAUGUCUUUAGUUGGAUGUGAUCUGUAGCACUUGUCUGGCCUGUAGUUUAAAGUAUCAUUACUAAUAUUAUCUUGAGGUUACAGGAAUCACAGAAAGCUCAUUAUGCAGUUGGCAUGUUUCAUACUGAGGCCAGAAUUGUUUCAAUUUCAUGUAAGAGAACAGUAGUACUAAACCAGCUUGUUAGUAUUGAGUUCCAGAGUAUGAUGCCAGUAAAGUAUUGAGAUAUUUCUGAAGGGCCUUUUUUUUUAUUGUAGCGUGACCACAAUGUUGCAGUGUAUAUUUUUUUUUGUCUUACUCACUGUUUGUGAAUGUUUAUUAGGAAUUACUUUUAAAGCCUUUUAGUGUGUACGGGGUGUUCUGUGUAAAUAUAAUGAAGCUAAAAUAAAUAAAUAAAUAAAUAAAGAAGAAAAUGACGCAGUUUUGUGGACAGCCAUAUGUACAUGCAGUAAAUUAAUACAUUUUUUUUGCCAUGUUUCAUACUGUUUUGACAACAACUGUCAGUCGUGGUACUACUCACUUGUGGACUGGAUGACAACCAUGAGUCAAAGUGCAUGCUUUCUUAAGUGACAGAUUCUAAUUAACUUUUCUUUCUUCGUUCUUUCACUACUGCACGAAGAAAAGGCCUUGACAUUCAACUAGCUUAGUGAACACUAGGCUUUCUUUCUUGCAAUUUCUUCAUCCCAGUGCUUCCCUAUAGUUAAUCCUAUUGCUUUUUAUGAAUGAGUAACUAAAUAGCAUUGUAUUAAGUCUGUGGGUGUGUGCAAUGCUCACAUUGUUGCUGCAGGCACUGAGCAAUUUUUGGAGGUAUCGAGACUAACACGUGUUGGGAGGCACUAAUGGAGAUGUGCCAACCUGAGGCAAUGCUUCGCACUGCAUUGAUGUAGCUCAUCAGCUGUAUUGUGCAAAGCUUUCAGUGCUGGCAAAGCUGGUCACCUCAAGACGUGGACCUGAAUGCCUUACCUGUAAACUUCUGUAUAUUGUUUCGUGGAAAGCAGGGUCAGGAUAAUGUAGUUACGUUAUUUCAAUUCCAUUCCUUUCUGCACGUUUUAAAGGUGCCAUAACACGAAAGGUUUGAGGUUGAAUUGUGCAUCGCAUCUUAAAGGGACACUAAAGGCAAAUAUCAAGUCGACAUUGAUUGUUGAAACAGCAGUCCAGAAACCUCGUAGUGCUACUUUUGUGCCAAGGCAGUGCUUAUUUUGAAAUAAAAUCACGUUUUAGUGGUCUGCAUCGCGUUAGCGCACUUCAAAUGACCCGCCUGAAAGUGGUUUCUCUCACGUCACUGUUGCCGUGCCCAACGUUGCCCACCUUUACUGCGCGGCAGCGUGCACUGGCGGCGUGCACCAUUCGGGCAUCCGGCAACAUCACAUGCAUGCGGCAUUUUAUCGAACUUUCUGUCAGAGCGACUUUCACGGGCGCGCAAAACACGCGCGGCAGUACGCGAUACCGAAACCAUCACUGAGACGCGACCGCGUGAGCGAAGCAGGACGGCGAAAACGGAACCUUUGAACCACGCGCGCCGUUCCCCAUGGCAACGCCAAAGAGGUUCUUUUUUCCAUGAAUCAAACAGAAACGAACAAGCAGCAUUUUAUUACAUCUCUUGAUGCAGGGAACGUUCUUUUUUUUAUUGCAGCUAGUUUGAUUACGAGUGAUUAAUUGUAGUGGGACUCUCUCACAUCAUCGGGAUAAUUUCCAAAAUGUGCCGCUCGUGGCGCGCAUCGUGUGAUACAUUUAGGUUAAUUUCUAGGUAAGUAGGGCACUGCUGUUGAUAAUAUUGCUGUUUUAGACGUUGUCAUACAUUAAGCUUUCACUCUGACAUAAAUUGUUAUUUGCCUUUAGUGUUCCUUUAACCCUUACGUGUUACACAACAAGCUGUUAAAAUGAUUUGAGUGAAUUCGGUGCACUACUAAAUUUAUAUCUGAAUUUCUUAAUGCCGCAGUUGAACCGUACAGCAGUGUGGCAGUGGUGAGUGGUGACACAAUGAAACUGAACCCUGGAAAUUACUCCCUUGAGUACCAAAAGCCGAUCUCGAGGGCCAAGCUUUUAUACCUGCAAAAACAGGAGGUGAAAUACAUCAUGGCCACCGUGAAAUAUUUUUUUUUCAUGUGCAUUGUAAGUGGUCCAAGCAGUGCUCCACCCAUGUUAUCAGCAGGAUAACUUUGUCCCAAGUGGUGGGUAAGAAUUUGGCCAGCCCUGCUUUACUUGUCUUGCUCUUUUUCACAAGCGGUGUGUGUUACUGUUUAGCAGUGUGUUGAGAUAUCUAGACAUCACCUUGGACAUGGACAUUUUGGGUUAUUUCGAGGAGCUGAAACUUUCAGUGAGUGAAUUAAGCUUAUCAAUCAAGAUAUAUUCUUUAUGGUAUAAACUUGUUUAUCAUCAACUUCAUAUUUUUGUCAUGCUGUGAAAGUCCGAUUUUUUUCUAAAGGAUGAAGUUACUGGAUGUGCAUGUUUUGAUGUGUCUAUAUGUGUGUAUAUAUAUUUGGUGUGUUGCAUAUGUACCCAGAGCAAAAAGUACAGAGACCACAGAUGCUACAGAAAGAUGCAGUUGUUUUGAAGCUUUAGGGAUACAGCCUCAAAGACAGCGUUCAUUGCAGGUCCAUUUCAAAACUGUGGAGCAUGGCUGCGCAUAUAUUGAGUCUCAACUUGGUCGCUAUUAUCAGUAGACUUUUGUUCUAGGUGUGCAUAUGCUUUUAUAGUAGGGUAUACAAGAAAAUGUAUUGGUUUUAUUUAGGUCUUUGACUUGCCUGGUCUAUUUUUCAAUUAGCAAUGUACUGAACAUUCUAUGCACUCUAGGUGUGUUAAUUAUUCCAAGCACCUAUAUAGCACUGGUCAAAGGUUUCUAGGCUGUUUCAAACAUAGGCAUCUACCGGUUGUUCUCCAGCAUCAUAGCUGGCAUUUAGGGACAAGAAGAAUGAAAAGGGUAAUGCAGAUCCUUGGUCCAUCUAGUUUGCCACUCUAAUUUGAACAGCACUGCAAGUAAAAUAAUGCAACUUUCCGUGUGCCUGCUUGGUGAAGACGCUGAGGCAGGGAAGAGUACCGACUGUAGGAGGCUGUGUAACAUAGAACUGUUAUACUUUUCAAGGUGUUUUCACUGCUUUUACAAUAUGUUUCACUGUCUUUUAGUUCCUGCUACUACACGUCACAUUAUCUAAUAGCGAGCUGUUGUGUGUUGUGACAGAUGUUGCAUGGUUGUUGUGUGUUGUGACAGAUGUGUGUUGCAUGGUUUCUGUUAAAACUGGGGCACUUUCAAACACUUCAGGAGCUGCGCUUUUUGUGCGGUAUUCCACUAUUUGAUCUCUCUGGAUGCAUCUGGCCAAGUCCCACGGGAGAUACUGCAACCAUUACCACUUCGUUUCAGAUUUAAAGAUUUUUAUGUGGAUACCUGCUUGCUUACACGCAGUGAAGGAAAAAAACUUGGGCUAUUUUUUUUAUUGUUGACAAUAUGUAAGUCACACAAAGGUGCAGCCUGCGUACAGAAUGACAUGGUAAAUUCUAAGUGGGGCUUUUUUUCUAAACGUAAAGUGUUCACAUAAAGUGACAAAGUGGAGAAAGAAAUUAAAAACCAGGCAUUGAGCCUGCAGGGCAGUGCUACAUGCUUGUGAAACUUGUUUAGCUAGUGGUAGGCUUAAUAUUAAUAAUAACGAGGGCAUUGUACAGGCCAUGAAAGAUCAAGUUCAUGGCAUUUUAUUAUUUUACAUUUAUAGCAUUUUUUUUCUCACCAUAAGGUGCAAGGAUAAGUACCGUUGCUGCAGGUUGUGCAUUCCUCCACACCAAGCAAAGUUGCAAGUUAACAUACGAUAAGCAAGCAAAUGGAAUGUUACAUCCUCUGUUUCCCUGCAUACCUAUCAAGGAUGCUUGAUAAAAACUGGCAAGGACGCACAUGGCUCCCUCAUUCUUGCAGCUAUGUGCCUAUGGCAUGAAGUGUCGCAGUAAUGGAUGGAAACUUUUCACCCUAUGUUUCAGUAGCUUUUCACAUACUUUCAAAGCCCCAGUCGUAUCUGUUUCUAACAAUGUACCAGCUGUUUUAACUGGAUUUUCUUGCACUUGUUUGUGACAAAAGGUGAAUUGAAAAAGUAACCAUAACUUAGGUCCAUACUAACAUGCAGCAGAUGUAUUCCAUAAUUAUAGUUAACUCUGGUGAUUAACUUCCAUGUACUUUGCCUCUUAAGGGAGAAACAUAACCAAGGUUGUGAGUGGACUGCCAUGAAAAUUGUCGUCUGAGAUAUGUACAUGUUUAUUAUUUUCUAAAAACAUUCCAACCAUUUAUUUUUCUAAUGCAUAGUGCUAUUUUUAUGAACUCGAGUUAGCACAUCUCGAUUUAGAAUAUUGCAUCAAGGCUGAUUUUUGGCUGUUUGGGAGUUGACGUGUGAUAAGAUUUUUAUGAUGUUAUUCAUUGAAAAGCAUAGCAUGUUGCACUUUUAUGCAGCUAACCGAUGGUGAAUGACUGUGCCACGCAACAUACUUUACUCUAAAAAAUUGAUUCGGUGUUAACAUUUUUUAAAAUCUCAUGUAAUUUGUUGUUUUAUUUUGUUGUUUAUCUGAGAAGUUCCUCAACCUGUCUGUGUGUGUGUGUGCUGGGGCAGGUGGGGGGAUGGGUAUUUCACAAAUGCAAGCUAGCCAGUCUUUUAGGGGUUAACAUUAAUAUGCAAAACUUACCAUUUUUUUAUGUGUGCACGGUAUCUCACCUCAGCCUAAUGAGAGCUUUAGGUUAGGGGGCCUCAAGCAUUGGUUGCUAACUGCCGGGUGGACAAAAGGAGCUGAGGUGUGUAUAAAAGAACACAAAGGGUUAGGGGGCCCCCCACGUAAAACUCUCCGAUGUAUGUAGUGCACCUACAGAUAAUGCUCAGGCAUUUGGCAUGUAACUGGUAUAUUUAUUUUUUUUAAUCAAAAUACUGCAGGGCAUGUGGCCCAAGCAGGAGGGGCAGUACACCAACUUAGAAACAACAAUAAACAACAGAAGUGAAAAAAAGGAAGGUAACAUAAUUCAAAAUAAUAGAGAGAAGUGCCAAAAAAUCAUGCCAGUUAAAAAAAUAAAUAAAAGUAAAUAAGUAAAUAACUGUGCACGUCAUUAGUACUACCAGUGAGUCAAAAUGCAGAAGUAAUGAACACUGUAUUAAGUGAAAUAAAGUACACAGAAUUCAAAUAGUCAAUGUCAAAAGAAAAAUUGGGCAUAGAGUAAAUUAGUUAGACACAUUCAACUGUGCAGUGGACAACGGGCAUUCUAGUGACAGCUUAUUCCAGUAAGUAAUUGUUUUUGGAAAUAAUGAGAACUUAAAUAUUCUCAUUCUAUAUAAGGUUAGUAUGUGUAUAUGAUGCCUUGUAUAUCUAUACAAAUCUUGCAACUACUAAUUUAAGGUUUUCAAAAGCACAGUAACACAAGUUGGAAAUGUAAUGUUGCUAUAAUUUGUUAAAACAGUGAACACAUGUAACAGUGAUGAGUGUCUUGAAAUUGCAAAGCAAGAAGACCUAAUUAUAACUAAUUGUAGUGAGAAAACACUCAAAUUGCUUUUUAAAAUAUCAUUUAUUACAGAGUGAUGAUUCAAUCUGCUGUACACACAGAUUAUGUGUUGUGUAAUUUCAAUAUUCUAGACUAAUUAGCGUGCAUUUUCUUUUAUAUAUGGUUUACUAUUUGGUGGCCACUUAGCUAACAUCAGGUACUUGAAGAUUAAUUUCCUGCUCAUUCUGUGUGUUUUCGAGUUUUUAUUGUAAAUGUAGUCUGGUUUUGCGCAACUUGCAUUCUUUUGUUGAUGUAUUUUCGGUACAUUAAAACUUGUUACAUUUUAGAACAGCAAUACACUUGUCCUGAGAAAUUUUCCACAUCUUUUUAAAUGUUUUAAUAGGGCUCUUGCCACGUGGUGAUAUUUUACUGUGGGCAGCUUUAUUGAACAAAAUGUGAACUUUUAGAGUGGUGAAAAAUUGGCAUUGAUUUCGUAAAACUCGGUUCUCAUUUCAUCAUAACGCAGUUACAGGCAGAAACAGAAAAUGCCUUAUCCUCUGUUUUCAUCCACUCUUUUCUGCAGUAGUGAGCACUUUUUGUCAAAGGCAGUUUGGAAGUUGCUUGUACCUGUAUGGUUUACAGCUACUGUCAGUCAUAUUAGUUUCAUUUUCUGUACACAAAAUACUCUAGUACAGGGGUCUCAAACACACGGCCUGCGGGCCGCAUGCGGCCUGCGGAUGUUUUGCUAGCGGCCCGCGGCUUCACAAGGAAUAAAAUGUUUGUGAUUUUGUUAAAUGGUGCUCGCAUUAAAUACUCAGCUAUUGCGAUUAAUAAAGUUUUGUUCCAGUAAGGUACAGAGGCGGGACUGGUCUCAAGCAUAGUUUUUUCGUGGGGCACCCCAUGUGGUCACCGUGUGUUGAAACAUAACCGUAGAACAAAAUCUCAAUAUUUCUAAAUAGGUGUCCAGAUUGAAGUCAUUCAGGAGAUUAGUAUUGAUAUGGUUCUCGAAUCCUGGUGCCAAAUCUACUCCAGAAAUGACUCAUAUAUGAGAUAUGAAAAAUGCAUUCUUUUAAAUGGCAGCAUUACGCAACAUAGGCAACAUUUUGUUCAACCCCGCCCCCUCUCCCCCCCUUGCUUCAACCUUCUUCACUGUCCCGGCCCUUGUGGUACUAAAUUUCAUGACUGUGGUCCACUAGCUGAGGCGAGUUUGAGACCCUUGCUCUAGUAUGAUAUAGCACAAAAACUAUAUAUAUUAGAGCUGUGCGAAGAGCAAAAUUUUGGGUGCGAAGCGAAUUCAAAUAUUGAAGUGUGAGUGCAAAUCGAAUCGAAUAUUUUUUUAAUAUUUCUCAAAUAUUUCUAGAAUAUUUUUCGAAUACUUCGAAGCGAAAUUGCAGAAAAAAAAGUUAGAGAGGAUUCCUAAGCAUAUUCUUAUGAGAUAGCAACAUGAAAGUGUUUCUUUUCGCUAGGUUGAUGAAGCACUGGAGGGGUGGUGUUUCAUAGUUGUCUUAUCAAGAAUGAGGCAAUGUAGAGGCCGAAUUUUAUUUAUGUACAUGAUUUGGUGCAACCAAAGUGUUGUCGACCACACUUUACAAGUGAUAGGCAAAGAUGCUAUUUCUUCAGCCUCUCCUCUUGUUUCAACUUCUGUGGAAGCCCAACUGAUGUGGUGGACAGGGGUGUGCUCCCUUCAAGUCUGGAGUUCCAAAUCUGCCUCGUAGACGUCGAUAUGUAAGAGCAUCUGAAAUUUUGGAUGCUAAAAAGCUUCGGCUUUCGAUUUUUCGGGCUUCCUGCCCAAAUUUCAGGUCUAAAACAGCAUUAAUUGAGCCCCCACCUCUGCCACGUCUUACAUCUCCAUGUUGGAACCAGCGUUUUCUUGAGUUAAUACAUUUGCGACCGUAGCAGAGCUUGAAAGGCAGCUUUGCCGCAAUACGGGGGUGUGUUGAGGUGAAGCAUAUUGAAAAUCUAGAGACUACACUUUCAAUCGGACGUUGUCUUGGCAAAGCUCCACCGUAACGGAGCUUGAAAGGCAGCUUUGCCGCAAUACCUGGGUGUGAUGAGGUGAAGCAUAUUGAAAAUCUAGGGAUCACUUCCAAUCGGACGUUGACUGUGUCUUGGCAAAGUUCGUCCGUAACGGGGUUUGAAAGGCAGCUUUGCCGCAUCACGAGAGUGUAAUGAGGUGAAGCAUAUUGAAAAUUUGAAGGGGUCACUUUCAAUCGGACGUUGACUGUAUUUAUUUUUGGGAAGUUUCAAUAGUUUGACUUGUAAAAUUCCAGUGCGAAUCGAAUCGAAUAGCAAACACUAUUCGAAAAAAUAUUCGAAAUUUCGAAUAUUCGCACACCCCUAAUAUAUAUAUUAAUGGAUUCAUACUUUCCACUGUGAACCUAACACAUAGCCUCUGUGAGUUACUGAAAGGGUAGUUUUUUUUCACAAACAUUGGAAACGCUGUUGGUUAAGGCCAAUUAAUUCUAUGUGGCUUUACAAGUGCACCAAUGAUCAUCAUAAAUAAAUCGCUUACUUAUUCUAGCCAGCCCCCCCCCCCCCCCCAUUUUUUUUUCUUUUCAUCUUCUAGUAAACCUCUCAAUAAAAGUAAGAGCUGCAUAUGUGAUCAGGCUGCUAUCAGAAGCACCUUGCUUUUGGCGUCAUCAAUUUUUGCUGCUGCCAAUCUUUUUAACAAUACCUGCUAUAGUUAAUAUGGUAUUUCUGGGCUUGAUGUUCGUGUUGUGAAUUUCUGUGCUUAAAAGCAGUGUGUGCAUGCUUUAAAUAGCUGAUUUGCGGCAUUCAGCCUUUCUUGGUUGUACUGUGUAGAAGUAUGUGAAAUCAAACUGUCUAGAUUUGGCUAUCCGCUGUAGCAGUAGUCUGUCAGAGGUAGUUGUGGCACAUCACAGACAUGUCAAUAUCGUGAUCACCAGAGCCAAGUUAAGGUUGUUUGCUGAAUUGUUUCUACUUUGGCUGAACAGUCUCUUUGCUGUCUUUUUGAGCUUCUCAAUUCACACUAUGUGAGUGUAUGUCUGGAUGCAUGUGAAUAACUUAUGCCUAAUGAGAAUUCACAUAGUAUUUGAUUGUAUAAUUUUCAAUAUUUUGCAUACCCAGCCAUUGGUUAUAUACUAUAUUGAUGGUGGUGUACUGUGCUCCGGCAUGUUCCUGGGAGCGGGGUGCUUUAACUCGUCAUGUGGUGUAAUGCUUAACUCUUGGUAGGGAGGCUCUGUAGAACAGAUUACCUGGCCUCAAGAGAAAAAAAAAACAAAAAACAGAUCACGUAUGUGGAUGUACUACUUGCAUAUAUUCUUGCUCUUGUUAUGUAAGAAGGCCCACGAAACAUCUAACAUACUAGACGUUGUCUUAGUGACGCAGAUUACAUGCCAACUACGGUUGUUCUAGAUGUUUUGUAGUUAAAAUGUAGGAAAAUAGCAUGAAUUAUUUUGUAUAGGGAUAGGUGCCUGUUGACUCCAUGUGUAGUUCAACAUUGGCUUGAGCACGUUUAGUACUGCGGUGCGAAGUCUCAGAUAAUACCUAUGGAAUAUUUAGGAUAUUGAAAGUGUGAAACUAUUUUGUCUUCAUCACAGUCGUAAGUUUAUAUUUGUCUUUCUCCAGGAGUGUACUCUAUCAUGCAUCUAAAUGUAGAAACUUGUGGGUGCCUGUCUGUUAUUCUUUUUAAUGGGCACAUAGCUGUGAUCUUGCCAUUGUAAGCAAGCAUAUUAGCUGCUGCACACAAUGCUGCUAUGCCUUCUAUUAUUGCCCUUUGACCCUUUUACUGCCAUGCCCAGGUGUGCUAGUUUCCUGUCUUAUGCUUGCUUGCUGCCAUCUCUGCCUACCGUAAUGGUGAAGAAAGUGUACUCGUGUAUUUCUUGUAUCCUUACUGCAGUUCUUUUUUUUUUGCAUAUUACAUGCAAGUUUUCACACGUAUGGCCACUGUAAGGCACUGCUGAAUUUUCUCUUGCCAUGAAAAGUUGGUUGCUUUUCAUGCCAGUGCACUACAGCAAUUUCACUUGACCAUGUGGAAACUCUCUUUAGUAGUGUGCAUAAAAAUUUUGAAAAUACAUUGACAUUACUUGGAAACUGUCAAAUGCAUUUGCAGCCUUGAAGUAUUGUUUCAAUUAAACUAAAUAACUGUACCUUGCAGUUACUUAAAGAAAAGGCACUCAAGAGUCACCUGCAAGAUAUGUAUGAAGGAAUAUUUUUUUCUUUAAAAAAAUCUGCACCUCUCUCGUAGCAAUUGCAAAAUGAUUGCAAAUCAUCCUAUCUGAAUAUUUAUUGCAUGUUUAGAUAGGUGUUUUUAAAUCAUGGGAACAAAAUUUUGUGCACCACUUAGCCAUUAUUUAUGCUAUGUAUUUUUUUUAUGGCAUUGUAGCAUUUUAUGGCUCUAAUGUGUUGGUUCUAUCUGCUCAACCGUAUUGGGAUUUUCUUGCGUAUUGCUGUUUAGAGGAAGCUUUAGCAUGGGGCCAAACUGUUCAAAUAUGUAUAAAAUGCAGAAAUGCUUUUACGACUUAAAUACUGGACUGCAUUUGAAUAAAAUUUUCUGCAUUUGAAGUAGAAUGUUAACUUCUGUCGACUAUAAGUAGCAGAAUUUGGAUCUGUCGUUUUGAAUUGUUUCAAGAUUUUCAAAAACUGGUUCAGCCUAAAAAGAAAAUAUGGAAGCAUGAGCUUCAAAAAUUCGUAACUUUGCACCAAAUAUAGGUAUCACAGUUCUGUGAAGUGGCAUCAAUUAUAGCAUCUAAAUUGGGCAAAUCUGGUAUACGAGUUUACAGCUUAUGCGAGUUUGCUGCAGUAUUUACGAGGGUUUUGUAAAUGGCUUACUCGCGCAUAGGGUAUAUUUCAGAGCAGUGCACGAUAGAUAAAUGGUUGCUUUAGAUAUAUUGCUAGGUGCAGUUUACAGGAUUGUGGUAUUUUUUUAUUGCAGAGUAGCAGUGGUGUAAAUUAUGUAGCUUCAUUUUUUGCUGUUGGUGAUUUUCAUCAUUUUCUGCUUAAAAAAUUCAUGGUCUCACCAAACACAUCAGCUUCCUGCAGUAACUAGAUUUUAACGUUUUUCUUUUAACUGUAAUAACCAUCAUGAAAUUUGGUGCAAUGGUUGUUGAGGAAAACAGUUUUCUCAUUUUACAUGUAUUCUAAAGGGGGUCUUCGAACUAAAGCUUUUUUUUUUUUUGAGGUCCUGUCCUGCUGAUUGCAGCCAAAUUUUUCAUAACUGUAUUUCAACAUGUGCAUGUGUAGUACUCUUCCAAUACAUUGCAUAAUCAGCAGACUGAACCAGUUUCACUGUUGUGAUGCCUAAAAUCAAUGUUCAUAAGCAGUCUUACUAAAAGAAGAUUCCAAUUUGCAUGCAGUAACAUUGUGUCAGUUAACAUUUUUGGCAGUUGCAUUUUUACUGUCUUUGUACAGUUUCUCUCAUCUUUGCAAUACCCUGGUGGCACAGAGUUGCCACUAUAUAGAAAUAUUAAUUAUUUUCAUUAUUAUUGCUCUGUAGUUGAUGUUAGUGGCAGUAUACAGUGUACAUAAAAAUAUAUAUUUUCACCAUCUCAAUUCACGCAAUAGUACAUAGGUAUUUAUUGUGGUGAUACAUGUUCUGCCAUUUGUGGCAUCUACAUUGCUGACAUGCUCUUACUGAAUUUCGUUUUGUGCAAAAUAUGUGCAAUGUAUAUGCAAAAGGUUUUUUAAAAAAUGUUCCUUUUUUUUAUGCAAUGUUGUAUGCUAGACUCGAGGUUUUGGUGCCCCUUUUAGCAUAAUUGAAGGGAACUAGAAUUAGCAGACUCAUUUAAGACGAUGUGCUUCAUAGAACUAGUGCAUCAUGCUAUGUGCUCGUUUUAAAAAGUAGCAUCUUUUGGUUGCCUUAUGUGUAAUGUGUCGCAUGCCGUAUUUAUUCCUUUUGCGCAUAUUGUGUUGCGCCAUUUGAGUGUGUUGAGGCAAAUAUACUCGUGAAUAUUGUUUGAGGAACAAUAAAUCAGUGUUAGUAAA